rnacentral:rRNA from 1 species
AGUGAACGCUGGCGGUAGGCCUAACACAUGCAAGUCGAACGGCGGCACAGUAAGAGCUUGCUCUUACGGGUGGCGAGUGGCGGACGGGUGAGGAAUACAUCGGAAUCUACUUUUUCAUGGGGGAUAACGUAGGGAAACUUACGCUAAUACCGCAUACGACCUACGGGUGAAAGCAGGGGAUCUUCGGACCUUGCGCGAUUGAAUGAGCCGAUGUCGGAUUAGCUAGUUGGCGGGGUAAAGGCCCACCAAGGCGACGAUCCGUAGCUGGUCUGAGAGGAUGAUCAGCCACACUGGAACUGAGACACGGUCCAGACUCCUACGGGAGGCAGCAGUGGGGAAUAUUGGACAAUGGGCGCAAGCCUGAUCCAGCCAUACCGCGUGGGUGAAGAAGGCCUUCGGGUUGUAAAGCCCUUUUGUUGGGAAAGAAAAGCAGCAGGUUAAUACCCCGCUGUUCUGACGGUACCCAAAGAAUAAGCACCGGCUAACUUCGUG